GGGAGGGGGCGAGGGGCUCGCGGGCUGCUUUCCGGACGCGGUCCUCGGGCAGUUGGGAGAAACUCUGCCCUUGGGACGGGGCGCUGCGCUCUUCCCCGGGCCAGCGAAAGUGGCGGAUUUUACAGCGAAACUCGGGGAAGCCGGGCAGGACCGGACGGAAGGGAGAGGGACCGGGAGGACCGGUCUGGAUGGGCAGCAGAGAUGAACAAAUCCGCCUGAAACUUUGGUCUGUGGAAGGUGCGGGAUUGUGGCAGCUGCGGAACUGUCUGGCAGGAGUCUUCUGUGAAGGGUCCCAUCCAGCGCUAAAGAGCUUGUAAAUCGUUAGGUAAAGAAGGCGACGGGCCGCCUGUGCGUCUCCUCCUCGCGUGACCCUGCCGCUCAGAAAGCCUGUCGCUGUAAACAUCCCCGACUGGAAGCUGUGGGCCACGGCAGAGCUUUCAGUCGGAUGUUUGCUGCUACCGGCUGCUCACUGGCCUCGUUGGGGCUCCUUGUGCCGGGGACGUGCGGUCGGCGAGGCCCCUCUGUUUGCUGCUGUCUUGGAGGACGCCUGGGUGGUGACAGAGUGAAGAGGUGUGUGCACGUGAACGUGGCCUCUGCACCCCUCACCCUGACUGAUGUCACAGCUCCUGUCUGAGCGCUGCCGUCAGAAACGUGCGUGACCGCAGGUGGCGGGGCCUGCGCACGGCGUUCACUGGUGCUGAGAAGUGUUUCGGGCUGUCGCUAGCCUUCUGCUCCGUCGCUCGAGUCUGGACGGAUGCCUGGGGUGCCGGUGCGCGGUCGGUGGGCCCCGCUUCCCCCCAGGGCUGCGUGUCCCCGGCCCUCCUCCUCGACGGCUUCGUCGUGGAUGACUUGAUUAGCAGCUUGGUGACUGAGGUCUACAAAUUUGAUUUCUUAUUUUCAUCUGUCCUUUAGACUCUGGGAAGUGUGUGUUUUACUGAAAUUUUUCUCUUCAAUAAAGCGUUGGUAUUUUUCAGA